AUGAACGCUGGCGGCGUGCCUAACACAUGCAAGUCGAGCGGAAAUAGCCUCGAGUACUUGUACGAAGGACUAUUUUAGCGGCGGACGGGUGAGUAACACGUGAGUAACCUACCUUCAGCGGGGGAAUAACACCGUGAAAAUGGUGCUAAUACCGCAUAACAUUAUCUUGUGGCAUCGCAGGAUAAUCAAAGGAGCAAUCCGGCAGAAGAUGGACUCGCGUCCGAUUAGCUAGUUGGAGGGGUAACGGCCCACCAAGGCGACGAUCGGUAGCCGAACUGAGAGGUUGAUCGGCCACAUUGGGACUGAGACACGGCCCAGACUCCUACGGGAGGCAGCAGUGGGGAAUAUUGGGCAAUGGGCGCAAGCCUGACCCAGCAACGCCGCGUGAAGGAAGAAGGCUUUCGGGUUGUAAACUUCUUUGACCAGGGACGAAACAAAUGACGGUACCUGGAAAACAAGCCACGGCUAACUACGU
rnacentral:rRNA from 1 species